AGAGGCGGGGACAAAUGGCGCGCUCUGGUGACGUCAACAUGCUGGGCCGGGCCGCAGGAAUCGCCCCUCCUUUCCUGCGCCUCGGUGAUGAACGUCCCAGGGACUUAAGACUGCAGCAGCUGUCAGCAAAAAGAUAACGUGGAAGCAUUCCUGUGCUCCUGUGACAUUGACUGGAGGCUGCCUGCAAGAAAACAGCCAAGGCAAGCCAGACUCCGUACAAACUGGAGGAGGCAGCAUUUUUAAUACAUCGGGUUGUUCUCCCUCAAGAGGAGUAAGUCUCCCACCGGAAGGCAGUAAGGACAAUUCCAGAGGGAAGACGUCAGGUUGGAGGUCAGCACUGAAGCUGGGGAGGCGUCUGCUCGCACCGAUUGUGCUUCCGACUUCAGAUGAAUCUCAUUAGAACUUGGGCACGCAACUGUAGAGCAUCAUCCACAGUUUCUGAGAAGCUUGGGCAAGAAGCCCAAUACCUAGGACGUGUGAAAUGUUAGUCUGCUUUCAAAGAGCAAGAAUGUGCAAAUGGGGUAAAUCUAACGACCUCUGACUUCCAAAGUUGAGAUUAAUUAAUGCUAUGAAUCUGGACUAGAUUUGCAACAGAGUGCCUAGAAAGUGGAAUGUAAAAAAUUUUCUGCUUCAAUGAGCUUCCAUUUGAAAGUUGCCAGCAAGCAAGAUGAAGACAGCCAGUUUCCUUGGAGGAAGUCCGUCCGUAGAACAAUCGCAGGAACAGUCUUCUUCUGCCAGGGGGACUUGGGCAUCUACACCAGUACCUGAGGGUGAACUGUGGCUUUUCCUCCUAACUCGUGGCUUGAUGGAAGCUGUUAUCUGUAUUUCUUGGUGUGAAAUGCUAAAUGCUGGAAACAACUUGGCAAAAUUCCACAGGGCAAGGAGCCUUCUCAGGGAGAAGAAAUCAGAGCUAAUUUCCACGAUGUAUUAUGAGAUCUCACCUGGACUGAGGUGUACAUACCUGAAUCACACAUGACUUCCACCAAAAACCAUCAUGGGCUCUCUAGUUAUGAGAGUUUGAGGGUGGAAGGUCUGGCUUCAGAAAUCCCAAUGGAGCCACUUUUCUCAAUUUGCCAAUUAAAGAUGUACAGAUAGUAGCAAGUGGGUGGAGACAACUAAUCAAGGUCGUCCGGACAGUUGGCAUGAUGAACCAGAAGCCCGAAGGUGAACUAUUAGGGAGAGCAGCAUAGAGGUAAAACCCAUUGUAAGACUCAGCUGGAGGGGUUGGUUGGCUCGAGAGCAACUCACAUGGGGAAAGGCUGGGAGUGGUGCCGCCUAGCCACUAAGGCUAACUCAAAUAGGUUGUGGUGACUCAAAAAAUGGUAACCAUGGCAACUGUUGACACUGGUGCACUAGUAACACAGCUCACUCAUCAAGUCUUCCCAUAGAAAAAUUCAGGCCACCGAAGUAUUUAAUGGGAAAAUCAUACGAUUCGCAUAAGUGAUAUUCUGGGGAGAUGCAGAGUGUUCUGUGAGAAGUUUCCAGGACACUGUCUAACUCUAUUAAAUAUGGAAUGCUUCAUCUCAGGUUUCCAAACCAUUCCUUCCCAGGAGCGCCUUUUCUCACAAAGAGACUAAAUAUGUACCACUGGGGAGUUGGAGGGACAGAAGUGGGUCAGCAAGUGCAGUGCCCAUGGCCUUUGCAUCAAGGUGACCCAGCAGAGAAGUGUGCAGAGCUUCAACAGUGCCUGGUGCCUGCCCCACCACAUAACAUUACUCUUUUACUUCCAAAAUCUCCCAGAGAGAUCUCUGGCGGGAAAGGUCAAUUCCAAACUAUAUAUAGAAGGGAAUUCUAGAAACUGUAUUAAAAGUAUAUGUGUGUAUAUGUGUGUGUAUGCAUGCAUGUAUGAAUAUUGUGUGUGUGUGAAUGCAUGCAUGUGUGUAUGUAUAUUGGAGACAAGGUUGUCCUGCAACUUACUAGGUUGGCCUUGAACUCACAGAGAUCCAUCUGCCUCUGCCUCCCAAGUUCUGGGAUUAAAGUUGUGCACUCCCACACCCAUAAAAUAAUAUUUUUAAUAAAUAAAGAUUUAUUUUAGUUUUAAUUCUGUGUGUGUUUGUGCACAUGUGAUGCACAUGUGGUAUCUAGGGAGGCAAGAAGGUAUCAGAUCUCCCAGAGCUGGAGUUACAGACGGGGUGAGGCCCUAGUAUAUGAGCUAGAAAUCAAACUCUGGUCCUCUUCGAGAACAAUACUGGUUCCCAACUGCUGAGCCAUCUCUCUAGCUCUAACAUCUUUUAUUCUCUGAAGAUGUCAUGCAUUUAUAUAAUACCUAUUGACCUGUAGCCAGCCACCACCACUCCCUCCUCUUUCUAGCACCACCCAUCCCCUAUCUCCCUCCCAACUUUGUGUCUUCUUUUUAAAAUUAUUAUUAAUAGCCUUUUGAGUUCAGUCAGCUGCUGACAUGU